rnacentral:rRNA from 1 species
GGGUUGUGAGGUUAAGCGACUAAGCGUACACGGUGGAUGCCUAGGCAAUCAGAGGCGAUGAAGGACGUGCUAAUCUGCGAAAAGCGUCGGUAAGGUGAUAUGAACCGUUAUAACCGACGAUGUCCGAAUGGGGAAACCCAGUGCAAUUCGUUGCACUAUCGUUUGAUGAAUCCAUAGUCAAACGAGGCGAACCGGGGGAACUGAAACAUCUCAGUACCCCGAGGAAAAGAAAUCAACCGAGAUUCCCCUAGUAGCGGCGAGCGAACGGGGAGCAGCCCAGAGUCUUAAUCAGCAUCAGCAUCAGGAGAACGGUCUGGAAAGGCCGGCAAUAAAGGGUGAUAGCCCCGUAUCCGAAGGUGUUGGUGUUGUGAACUCGAUGAGUAGGGCGGGACACGUGUUAUCCUGUCUGAAUAUGGGGGGACCAUCCUCCAAGGCUAAAUACUCCUGAUUGACCGAUAGUGAACCAGUACCGUGAGGGAAAGGCGAAAAGAACCCCGGCGAGGGGAGUGAAAUAGAACCUGAAACCGUGUACGUACAAGCAGUGGGAGCCUUGAUUUAUCAGGGUGACUGCGUACCUUUUGUAUAAUGGGUCAGCGACUUAUAUUCUGUAGCAAGGUUAACCGUAUAGGGGAGCCGUAGGGAAACCGAGUCUUAACUGGGCGAAUGAGUUGCAGGGUAUAGACCCGAAACCCGGUGAUCUAGCCAUGGGCAGGUUGAAGGUUGGGUAACACUAACUGGAGGACCGAACCGACUAAUGUUGAAAAAUUAGCGGAUGACUUGUGGCUGGGGGUGAAAGGCCAAUCAAACCGGGAGAUAGCUGGUUCUCCCCGAAAGCUAUUUAGGUAGCGCCUCGUGAACUCAUCUUCGGGGGUAGAGCACUGUUUCGGCUAGGGGGUCAUCCCGACUUACCAACCCGAUGCAAACUACGAAUACCGAAGAAUGUUAUCACGGGAGACACACGGCGGGUGCUAACGUUCGUCGUGAAGAGGGAAACAACCCAGACCGCCAGCUAAGGUCCCAAAGUCAUGGUUAAGUGGGAAACGAAGUGGGAAGGCUCAGACAGCCAGGAUGUUGGCUUAGAAGCAGCCAUCAUUUAAAGAAAGCGUAAUAGCUCACUGGUCGAGUCGGCCUGCGCGGAAGAUGUAACGGGGCUAAACCAUGCACCGAAGCUGCGGCAGCGACAUUUAGAUGUUGUUGGGUAGGGGAGCGUUCUGUAAGCCUGUGAAGGUGUGCUGCGAGGCAUGCUGGAGGUAUCAGAAGUGCGAAUGCUGACAUAAGUAACGAUAAUGCGGGUGAAAAACCCGCACGCCGGAAGACCAAGGGUUCCUGUCCAACGUUAAUCGGGGCAGGGUGAGUCGACCCCUAAGGCGAGGCAGAAAUGCGUAGUCGAUGGGAAACAGGUUAAUAUUCCUGUACUGGUGAUAAUUGCGAUGGGGGGACGGAGAAGGCUAGGCUGGCCGGGCGACGGUUGUCCCGGUUUAAGGAUGUAGGUGGGUGAAUUAGGCAAAUCCGGUUCGCUAUACACUGAGGUCUGAUGACGAGUCACUACGGUGGCGAAGUAGCUCAUGCCCCGCUUCCAGGAAAAGCCUCUAAGCUCUAGAUUAUCAUUAAUCGUACCCCAAACCGACACAGGUGGUCAGGUAGAGAAUACUCAGGCGCUUGAGAGAACUCGGGUGAAGGAACUAGGCAAAAUGGUGCCGUAACUUCGGGAGAAGGCACGCUGGCAUUAGGUGAAGUGGUUUACCCAUGGAGCUGAAGCCAGUCGCAGAUACCAGCUGGCUGCAACUGUUUAUUAAAAACACAGCACUGUGCAAACACGAAAGUGGACGUAUACGGUGUGACGCCUGCCCGGUGCUGGAAGGUUAAUUGAUGGGGUUAUCCGUAAGGAGAAGCUCUUGAUCGAAGCCCCAGUAAACGGCGGCCGUAACUAUAACGGUCCUAAGGUAGCGAAAUUCCUUGUCGGGUAAGUUCCGACCUGCACGAAUGGCGUAAUGAUGGCCAGGCUGUCUCCACCCGAGACUCAGUGAAAUUGAACUCGCUGUGAAGAUGCAGUGUACCCGCGGCAAGACGGAAAGACCCCGUGAACCUUUACUAUAGCUUGACACUGAACAUUGAGCCUUGAUGUGUAGGAUAGGUGGGAGGCUUUGAAGUGUGGACGCCAGUCUGCAUGGAGCCAACCUUGAAAUACCACCCUUUAAUGUUUGAUGUUCUAACGUCGCCCCGUGAUCCGGGGUGCGGACAGUGUCUGGUGGGUAGUUUGACUGGGGCGGUCUCCUCCCAAAGCGUAACGGAGGAGCACGAAGGUUGGCUAAGCAUGGUCGGACAUCAUGCGGUUAGUGCAAAGGCAUAAGCCAGCUUGACUGCGAGAGUGACGGCUCGAGCAGGUACGAAAGUAGGUCUUAGUGAUCCGGUGGUUCUGAAUGGAAGGGCCAUCGCUCAACGGAUAAAAGGUACUCCGGGGAUAACAGGCUGAUACCGCCCAAGAGUUCAUAUCGACGGCGGUGUUUGGCACCUCGAUGUCGGCUCAUCACAUCCUGGGGCUGAAGUAGGUCCCAAGGGUAUGGCUGUUCGCCAUUUAAAGUGGUACGCGAGCUGGGUUUAGAACGUCGUGAGACAGUUCGGUCCCUAUCUGCCGUGGGCGUUGGAAGAUUGAAAGGGGCUGCUCCUAGUACGAGAGGACCGGAGUGGACGCACCGCUGGUGUUCGGGUUGUCAUGCCAAUGGCACUGCCCGGUAGCUAAGUGCGGAAGAGAUAACCGCUGAAAGCAUCUAAGCGGGAAACUUGCCUUGAGAUGAGUCUUCCCUGACUCUUUAAGGGUCCUAAAGGAACGUUUAAGACGAAGACGUUGAUAGGCUGGGUGUGUAAGCGUAGCGAUACGUUGAGCUAACCAGUACUAAUGAACCGUGAGGCUUAACCUGACAACACCGAAGGUGUUUUAG